CUGGCGCCGACACUUUGAAAAUUUGAGGAAACAAAAACAUUCUCCAACGAGUUCUUCAGCUCGGGGAAUGAGAGAAUAGAUUCACCUUUGUGUCGCUUUUCAGAUCGUAUUUUAAUUCCUUUCCGGUACUUUAGUUUCUUUGAACUUCUCUGUUACUAAGCCUAUAUUGAAUUUUUAAAAUUAAGAAAUCUGUGAUUUUACUUGCAGGCAUGACUGAUUAAUGGAAUUAUUUUACUUUUAUAUAGAAUGUGGACGGCACUCCAGUACUGUGCAUGGUUGGAUCUGUUGACAUUUUUAGAAACGCAUCUUGGUCUAUUAUACAGAGUAUUGUUGUACUGCUCCAAAGUGCUUGUUGACAGACUGAAACCACUUGCUUGCGGCUCAUAAGGUUCACUUCUUGAGAGCAGGCAGCUACAAAAUGGAAGGUCAACAAAUCCAGUAUACUUAAAAAGCAAGAAAGAAACACCAGAAAAUAUAAAAAGACAGAAGAACAAGGGAACUUUAAUAAAAAAACAAAACUUUUAAGGAUAGGAAUUCAGGAUUUACUUAGAAACUAAAUUUAUUUUGAGAACAGCAGUGUUUGACUAAGCUCUGUUACUUUAAGAGAUAAUGUAUUAUCGCAUUGGUUUUG